AGUGAACGCUGGCGGUAGGCCUAACACAUGCAAGUCGAACGGCAGCACAGGAGAGCUUGCUCUCUGGGUGGCGAGUGGCGGACGGGUGAGGAAUACAUCGGAAUCUACUUUUUCGUGGGGGAUAACGUAGGGAAACUUACGCUAAUACCGCAUACGACCUACGGGUGAAAGCAGGGGACCUUCGGGCCUUGCGCGAUUGAAUGAGCCGAUGUCGGAUUAGCUAGUUGGCGGGGUAAAGGCCCACCAAGGCGGCGAUCCGUAGCUGGUCUGGGAGGAGGAUCAGCCACACUGGAACUGAGACACGGUCCAGACUCCUACGGGAGGCAGCAGUGGGGAAUAUUGGACAAUGGGCGCAAGCCUGAUCCAGCCAUACCGCGUGGGUGAAGAAGGCCUUCGGGUUGUAAAGCCCUUUUGUUGGGAAAGAAAUCCAGCUGGCUAAUACCCGGUUGGGAUGACGGUACCCAAAGAAUAAGCACCGGCUAACUUCGUGCCAGCCGCCGCCGUAA
rnacentral:rRNA from 1 species